rnacentral:rRNA from 1 species
GUCGGUGGUUGAUGGUGGUGGGGAAACGCCCGGUCCCGUUCCGAACCCGGAAGCUAAGCCUGUCCACGCUGAUGGUACUGCACUCGGGAGGGUGUGGGAGAGUAGGUUACCGCCGACC